GCUCCCUUCGGGAGCACAUAGACUAAAAUUGGAAUGAUACAGAGAAGAUUAGCAUGGCCCCUGUGCAAGGAUGACACAUAAAUAAUGAAUGAAUGAAUGAAUGAAU
rnacentral:snRNA from 1 species